GCGGGCGUAGUUCAUCGGUAGAAUAGAAGCUUCCCAAGCUUCGGAGGUGGGUUCGACUCCCAUCGCCCGCUCCA
rnacentral:tRNA from 1 species